GGGCUAGGGCUUGGCCUGGCUGGCGCUGACUCCACAUGGGCUCCAGGCUCCUCUGCUGUGUGGCCCUCUGCCUCCUGGGAGCAGGACCCUUGGACACAGCAGUUUCCCAGACUCCAAAAUACCUCGUCACGUGGGUGGGAAACAAGAUGUCCCUAAAAUGUGAACAAAACCUAGGCCAUGAUGCUAUGUACUGGUAUAAGCAGGACUCCAAGCAAUCGCUGAAGAUCAUGUUUACCUACAAUUACAAGGAACUCAUUGUAAACGAAACAGUUCCCAGUCGUUUCUCCCCUGAAUCUCCUGACAAAGCUCAUUUAAACCUUCAUGUCGACUCCCUGGAGCCCGGUGACUCUGCUGUGUAUUUCUGUGCCAGCAGCCAAGACACAGCCCUGCAAAGUCACUGCCUCCCUGACAACAACGUUACAGGCAAAACCACCAAUCAAGGCCAAGGAGACCAGAGCUUAGCCCUGCUGUCCAGGGAGACCUAGUCAGACAGGCCACCACAGCCCUGACUCCACCAUGGGCUGCAGGCUGCUCUGCUGUGUGGCCCUCUGUCUCCUGGGACCAGUCCCCAUGGACACUGGAAUUACUCAGACACCAAAAUACCUUGUCAUGGGAAUAAGAAAUAAGAAGUCUCUAAAAUGUGAACAUCAUCUGGGACAUAAUUCUAUGUAUUGGUAUAAACAGAGCUAGGAGAAGCCACUGGAACUCAUGUUUGUCUACGACUAUAAGAAACUUGUUGACAACAAGACUGUUCCAAAUCUCUUCUUACCUGAAUGUCCAGACAGCUCCCUCUUCUACCUUCAUGUGGACACCCUGGAGCCAGAAGACUCCCCCGUGUAUUUCUGUGCCAGCAGCAAAGACACAGCCAUGCAGAGUCACCUUUUCCCUGUGCACAAAUCUCCUGGGUGCAGCCAAGAAGCUGUGGGGGCAACCAAGGCUCAGUUCAACAUUUCCUAA